rnacentral:rRNA from 1 species
UAACACGUGAGGAACUUGCCCAUGAGCGGGGGACAACAUUCGGAAACGGAUGCUAAUACCCCAUAGGUGGAUUGGUCGCAUGACUAAUUCAUUAAAGGUGGCUCUGCUACCACUCAUGGAUAGCCUCGCGGCGUAUUAGCUAGUUGGUAAGGUAAUGGCUUACCAGGGCAGUGAUACGUAGCCGACUUGAGAGGGUGAUCGGCCACACUGGGACUGAGACACGGCCCAG